rnacentral:rRNA from 1 species
AUCCUGGGCGUAAAGCGCGCGCAGGCGGCUAUUUAAGUUGGAUGUGAAAGCCUACGGCUCAACCGUAGAACUGCAUCCAAAACUAUUUAGCUAGAGUGUGGGAGAGGAAGAUGGAAUUAGUUGUGUAGGGGUAAAAUCCGUAGAGAUAACUAGGAAUACCAAAAGCGAAGGCAAUCUUCUGGAACACUACUGACGCUGAGGCGCGAAGGCGUGGGGAGCAAACAGGAUUAGAUACCCUGGUAGUCCACGCAGUAAACGAUGAAUGUUAGUCGUCGGGUAGCUAGUCUAUUCGGUGAUGCAGCUAACGCAUUAAACAUUCCGCCUGGGGAGUACGGUCGCAAGAUUAAAACUCAAAGGAAUAGACGGGGACCCGCACAAGUGGUGGAGCAUGUGGUUUAAUUCGAAGAUACGCGAAGAACCUUACCUAGCCUUGACAUAUAUUAGAACAGACCAGAGAUGGACUGGUGCCUUCGGGAGCUUUUAUACAGGUGCUGCACGGCUGUCGUCAGCUCGUGUCGUGAGAUGUUGGGUUAAGUCCCGCAACGAGCGCAACCCUCGUCACUAGUUACUAACGGUUCGGCCGAGGACUCUAGUGAGACUGCCUUCGCAAGGAGGAGGAAGGUGAGGACGACGUCAAGUCAUCAUGGCCCUUACGGCUAGGGCAACACACGUGCUACAAUGGCCAGGACAAUGAGACGCGAUACCGCGAGGUGGAGCAAAUCUAUAAACCUGGUCUCAGUUCGGAUUGUAGUCUGCAACUCGACUACAUGAAGCUGGAAUCACUAGUAAUCGUAGAUCAGCUAUGCUACGGUGAAUA